CCUUAGAGUUUGAUCCUGGCUCAGAACGAACGCUGGCGGCGUGCUUAACACAUGCAAGUCGAACGUGAUCCGGAGCUUGCUCCGGUGAAAGUGGCGCACGGGUGAGUAACGCGUGGAUAACCUGCCCUGGUGUCUGGGAUAACAUCUCGAAAGGGGUGCUAAUACCGGAUAAGCCCACGGACUCCUCGGAGUCUGCGGGAAAAGGGGGGGACCUUUUGGCCUUCUGUCGUCAGAUGAGUC
rnacentral:rRNA from 1 species